UACAUCUCUAUCAAUCUUCCACAAAAUUAGGUUUUUUAUUUUUCGAUUAUCAAAUUCGCAAUAUUGCAUGAUUUUCGGAAAAAAUUGUGUUGUAUCAUCAAACAGGAUUUGGGUUGUUGAAUACAAUAUAUAAACAAAAUACCCUAAGGAGAUUCACAAAAGGCUAUACAGUUGCGAUGGAAUUAGAGAAGAAGUCGAAUGAUGAACUAGUAAGGUCUCGUCCUUCCAUAGUGUCAACGGUGAAAACAAUCGAAAAAAAUGUUACAAGAGGAGGAAAGUAAAAAUUUUGUCCCGGACAUAAUUGGAGAAUCGGUUGUUAAUGAAGAAUAAGAUGAAGCGAGUGAAGAAUCACAUAGUUCAUCAGUUUCUUCUUCUUCUUCUUCUCUUCUUGGUGUGUGAAACCAAGAGAUGAUUUUGACUUGUUACAAAAAUCCAGCAGUAAAGAUCUUGUAACACUUAUGUCUGCAUGU